UGGGGCUGCUGGCACAUGUCCCUGACAGCGUGUGUGUGUGUAUGUGGCCAUGCGUGUACCUUGUGCACAUGUGUAUGUGUGUGCGUGUGCAUUUGUACGUGUGUGUGUGUAUGUGUGUGUGUGUGUGUGUCCCCAGGCACACAACAGGCAGAGAAAGGGCAGAGUGUGAAGUCUGCUUUCUUCCUCCGAGGUUGUCAGCUGCAGUUCCCUCCACCCCGCCUUGGGGGUGAGUCUGGAAGAAAUGAGCUCUGGAAAUUACUCCUUAAGUUGCGGUCUUCGGUCUCCGUUGCCUGACACUCGUAAAGUUAGUUUUACAAGCAGCCUAAACUCCCCUUUGCAAUGAUCGGCCGAUGGUGACCAGGCAUUUGCCUAGAUUUUUCUCUCCUCUAAAGGCAGGAUUCCAUCUCUGUACAAUCUGUGAAUUGUUCCCAGCGAGAUGGACCUCAUUUUGUUUCGCACCCCCACUGGCAACGCCAGGGGCUGUUGUGGAUGUGGUUUGGAGACCUGCGUCCAAGCAAUAAAAAUGAAUCUCCCCUGUGACCGUCUGGACGACGUGAGCAGAUCCCUCGUCUGGUUUUAAUGGGAGCGGGAAAUCACUAACAGAUGGCAGUGGCGCUCACAGGCUCCCCGCCUAGAACCCUUUCUGACGGCAGCUCGCCCCCCGCACGUGCGUCCCAGACGUGGGCUAUUUGCAGGACGCCUGGCCCCCCGCGAUGCUAAAUGUGUAGCAGCAGGGGGGCUGCGUGUGUGCCGGCUGAGGUCAUGGUUAUUCGUUUGGAGGAGAGGCGUUUGGUUUAUAAAACCCCAGCAACUCCACGGGGAGGGCCUUUCGGGGAAGAAAACCAGCCUGGGGUUCGCUUCCUGUUCCGACGCCGGUGGGAUCAGCGCUGACAUCACUGGCCCUGGACGGGCUCUGGGCGAAGUUGCCUUUUGGAGGAGGCGGCUGUGAGUCAUGGUGAUUUAUUGCAAACCCACCAAAAAUGUGGCGGAUGCGUACAGGCCCCAACCAGAAGGCACAGAAACUGCUAGGAAAUUACAUGAGGGGUCGGAAAUGGACAUGUGGGGGCUUUGCAAGAGGCUUUGGGACAAGUCGCUUUCUGGAAACUUUUGUAAUAUCAAAGUGCGGGGGAGGGGCCAGGCGCUUUCUCACUCCCUCUCCAGCGCUUAGGGUAUGCACGCCCGUGAACUUGUUAAACCGUGUCGGGGGUGGCGGGCAGCGGGGGGGUUAAUCCACCCACCACAACAGCACAUCUGAGACCCAUCUUCUACCUUGGUCACAGCUGGCCGCAAUGCCAGAUCCUCAACCCACUGAGCACGGCCAGGGAUCGAACCUGCCUCCUCACCAACACUGUGUCAAGUCCUUAACCUACUGAGCCACAACGGAAACUCUUGUAUUUCUGAUACUUUUAAACCACACAUAUAGAGGAGAAGUUUCAAGAAAAAAAAAUCUGUCUCCUUUAAUUGGUCAUUUAGAAAUGACGGGGGGUGGGGG
rnacentral:lncRNA from 1 species